GUAACAAAAUAGGAUAAGGUCAUCCUUCGCUCCGCCCUUCGGGUAAUGGCGGCCAUCUCGCGAUAUUUGUGCAUCUGAUGAGCCUGGAAUUGUUCGGGAUUAAAGCAUUGUCUAUUGACUAAUUUGGAGGUCACUGUGAUCGUAGCAUUCUUAACAUUGGUUGUUCAUCAGAACAGCAGCAUCCAUUGAUCAAGGCAAGUAUUAAAAACAACUUCUAUUUGAAAGUAAAGAAAGAAGGGUCUAGAAGACAGCCAUGCCUGCAGUGAAAGGGGAGGGGAUGCGCGGCCUUGCCGUUUUCAUCUCGGAUAUCAGGAAUUGUAAAAGCAAGGAAGCUGAAAUCAAGAGGAUUAACAAAGAGCUUGCGAACAUCAGAUCAAAAUUCAAAGGUAAGUGCGGAAGCUUGCUUGAAGAAAAUUUUACUGUGCUCUGCGGGUGUGUGAGUGUUAGAGUGUUGUACGGAGUAAUAGGACAUUUCCCUUGUGAACCCCUUCCCCGAUUCCCACAUGAAUAUUUGGUAAAUUGCCUAUCGGUAGACAGUGUAAUUGUGCUACACUAGUCGACACUCUUUGGAUGUAUACAAGUUUUCUGAAAUGAAACCACUACAAGAUGUAACCAGGGAGGGGUAGAGAAGAGCCGUACGAAAGAGAAGGGGGAGGAUGACGGUAAGUUAGAUAGUGAGAAUAAGAGAGAAGAUUGCGUCCAAGGGGGAGGGACAUCGUGAAAAGGGGAGGGGGGGGGGACAGAGGUAAAGGAAAGGGUGGAGAGAAAAAGAGGAGAGAGGAGGAUGGCAAUCAAGAGGGGAAGGGGGGAUGGGUAACUGGGUAACAUGAUACAUGUAAGAGAGGUAGAUAGGUACAAAGGAAAAAAAAAGAACAGUUCCUGCAAGUUGAAU